UCUCAGAGUCAAUCAGCAAUGCUAAUCAAGUCUGUGUGCUUAGCUAGGAUUUUGGACCUUCUUACGUGAAGGCGUCUGAAAGGAGGUCCCCUUUCCUGAAGGCUGACUGUUGCUUUGUCUCCAGGGGUGUUCCCUACAUGCCAGAGCUAAGCACAGGGUUGGAGGCUAGGGAAUGGAAAAGCUUCCCAAUUCAGGCAUUUCUGGAAGCAGUUGUGGCUAUUUCAGGGGGAGCUACAAACACAAGGCAAAGAGUCUUUUGAUCCCACACUUCUGUGUGAGCUUCGGAGAGACAAUCUUCCGGAUCUGGUGGUGACUUUUAAAAAAAGCGUCUCUGGAAUCCAUCCCCAGGCAGGCAGAAUUCGGUCUGAAGAUGCUCCCCAAGAGCACCUCAAAGAGCACCAGCAGGCCUUCCUCGGCAGGGACCUCCUUUAUCCAUGAGCGUUCUCUUCCCAGCCUCAUGUCCCACGGGUCCCUCCACUCUCUCCCUGAAGUCAGAUGGCGCUGGGGUUUCCCUGCGGGAACCACCCGCACAUUCGUGAGUGGAGAGAGUGCCAGCCGGGAGUCAGGCUCACUUGACUGAAGCUCCGCUUCCCUCGCUCCCCACCCACCCCUUCCGCGGCUCAGCCUGGAUCCCGCUGCUCGAUUCUCCAAGUGCCGCGUUCAUGCUGGAAGCCAGCGUUCCCCACAGUGUCUUCUGUGAAGACAAAUCCUGGGAGACGUUGGCGUUCCGGGAGAAGAAAUCGAUUCCUCAAAAAUAAGCAAAUUUUUAAUUUAAGGUGAUGUUUCAAGGAGACGUCGAUAUAUUAACGUGCUUUGCGAGUGUUUAAGAGGAAGGGGUGAAGGGCAGGGUUCUCCAAAGUUGUUGGCUACCUGGAG
rnacentral:lncRNA from 1 species